rnacentral:rRNA from 1 species
GUGUCAGCAGCCGCGGUAAUACGGAGGAUGCAAGCGUUAUCCGGAUUUAUUAGGUAUAAAGGGUGCGUAGGCGGACCUGUAAGUCAGCGGUGAAAUACUACGGCUUAACCGUAGAACUGCCGUUGAUACUGCGGGUCUUGAGUACAGUUGAGGUAGGCGGAAUGUGUGGUGUAGCGGUGAAAUGCUUAGAUAUCACACAGAACACCGAUUGCGAAGGCAGCUUACUAAGUUGUAACUGACGCUGAUGCACGAAAGCAUGGGGAGCAAACAGGAUUAGAAACCCCCGUAGUCC